UCGCGCUAAGUGGGGUGCUGGCGGUCCCCUGCACCGGCAAUCCGCCUUAGCCGGACCGAAUUCCCGCGCUGAGGUCGGGUCCUUGGCCUGGCCGCGGCUAACGGCGUUGAAGGUCGGGACCUGCGCAGCCUGGGUCUCCGAACCCCGUCAGGUCCGGAAGGAAGCAGCGGUAAGGAGAGAACCUGGGGGUGCCGCAGUCAUUCGGGCCGGAGCUGUGAACCGCGGUGCGAACUGGGGCACUUCGAUCGAAGCGGGGGUGCGCGG
rnacentral:SRP_RNA from 1 species